rnacentral:rRNA from 1 species
AACGAACGCUGGCGGCAGGCUUAACACAUGCAAGUCGAACGGGUGUAGCAAUACAUCAGUGGCAGACGGGUGAGUAACACGUGGGAACCUUCCUAGAGGUACGGAACAACUCAGGGAAACUUGAGCUAAUACCGUAUACGCUCUUGCGAGGAAAGAUUUAUCGCCUUUAGACGGGCCCGCGUCGGAUUAGCUAGUUGGUGGGGUAACGGCCUACCAAGGCGACGAUCCGUAGCUGAUCUGAGAGGAUGAUCAGCCACACUGGGACUGAGACACGGCCCAGACUCCUACGGGAGGCGGCAGUGGGGAAUCUUGGACAAUGGGCGCAAGCCUGAUCCAGCCAUGCCGCGUGAGUGAAGAAGGCCUCGGUUGGUU